rnacentral:rRNA from 1 species
UACGAAGGACCCAAGCGUUAUCCGGAUUCAUUGGGUUUAAAGGGUGCGUAGGCGGGUUGAAAAGUCAGUGGUGAAAGCCCAACGCUUAACGUUGGAACUGCCAUUGAUACUGUCGAUCUUGAAUGUGUUUGAUGUGGGCGGAAUAUGACAUGUAGCGGUGAAAUGCUUAGAUAUGUCAUAGAACACCGAUUGCGAAGGCAGCUCACAAAGCCACUAUUGACGCUGAGGCACGAAAGCGUGGGGAUCAAACAGG